rnacentral:rRNA from 1 species
CCUGAGAAACCCAAAAGAUCGAAUGGGGAGAUUCACCGUCAGCGCGGCUGGCUUCCGUGCGGUUCGCGAUGGCCGGGACCUCGGUCUCGCGUCACGCGUCCGCUGCGGCAUGUCCGGCUACGUCGGCGUGCACUUCUCCCCUAGUAGGACGUCGCGACCCGUUGGGUGUCGGACCGAUGGCCGUUUGGUCGCCUGUCUCGUCGCGUUCACGCGUGCACGGGGCAGACCGAAAUGGUCGAGCGUCCGGCUGCCCGGCGGUAUAGAACGCUAUUGAACGGUAAUGGGCCGCAUUAAGUGCGUCCAGGCUCGUCGGCAGGCUCGUCUCGCCCGGAUUUACGGACCUAGCGCCGUUGCCGGGUGCUUGGCGUGGCCGUUAGUCGACGAUGUCCUCGGACUGGCUCUAAAAUUCGAAAGGAUUACC